UACGUAGGUGGCGAGCGUUGUCCGGAUUUACUGGGCGUAAAGAGCGCGCAGGCGGUCGUGCAAGUCGCGUGUGAAAGCCCCCGGCUCAACUGGGGAGGGUCACGCGAUACUGAUCGACUCGAAGGCAGGAGAGGGUAGUGGAAUUCCCGGUGUAGUGGUGAAAUGCGUAGAUAUCGGGAGGAACACCAGUGGCGAAGGCGACUACCUGGCCUGUUCUUGACGCUGAGGCGCGAAAGCUAGGGGAGCAAACGGGG
rnacentral:rRNA from 1 species